rnacentral:tRNA from 1 species
GCCUGGGUGGCUCAGUGGUUGAGCAUCUGCCUUUGGCUCAGGUCAUGAUCCCAGAGUCCUGGGAUCGAGUCCCACAUUAGGCU